rnacentral:lncRNA from 1 species
GGAGUCGAUCUGGGAGAGAGUGGACUCAUUUUCUCAGUUCUCACUGAGAACUCUCCAGACGCCAGGCAGAGUGCCGAGCGGUCGGAAUACAGAGAUGCCCAGCAAGCUCACCGUUGACAAGGACCAGAGUUCCAAGCAAAAGGCUCCAAGUACAAACGACCCAGGAGCGAAGGUCUCUUUCAGGGGAAGAGGGCGAGGUGGACACCGACUCUUUCCAGACACGCAUCCACGGCUCCAGUGAUAACCUUCUCAUUCUGAGGCUUGCUGUUUAACUUUAUACACCGUCUGUUGGAUGAGAUGGCGUGGUAGGUGUGAUGUUUCACAGCCCGGAAGACUGGCUUCGCACUCUGGCCUCCGCCCGUGGCCACGAGGGCCAAAGCAGAGAGGUUUUCUGGAACUGACCGCUCUCCCACGCUCUUCAAGACCUACAGGC